rnacentral:rRNA from 1 species
GACGAACCGUGCGAACGUUAUUCGGAAUCACUGGGCUUAAAGGGUGCGUAGGCGGGUUGCCAAGUCUGUGGUGAAAUCCUCCAGCUUAACUGGAGAACUGCCGUGGAUACUGGCGACCUCGAGGGGUGUAGGGGCUUGCGGAACUGUGCGUGGAGCGGUGAAAUGCGUUGAUAUGCACAGGAACUCCGGUGGCGAAAGCGGCGAGCUGGACACCUUCUGACGCUGAGGCGCGAAAGCUAGGGGAGCAAACGGG